UACGGAGGGGGCUAGCGUUGUUCGGAAUUACUGGGCGUAAAGCGCACGUAGGCGGCUUUGUAAGUUAGAGGUGAAAGCCCGGGGCUCAACUCCGGAAUUGCCUUUAAGACUGCAUCGCUAGAAUUGUGGAGAGGUGAGUGGAAUUCCCAGUGUAGAGGUGAAAUUCGUAGAUAUUGGGAAGAACACCGGUGGCGAAGGCGGCUCACUGGCUCAUUACUGACGCUCAGGCGCGAUAGCGUGGGGAUCAAACAGG
rnacentral:rRNA from 1 species